rnacentral:ncRNA from 1 species
UCACGUGGACAGAUUUGAUUGAUUGCAACCACAAGAAAAAAUGCUAAAACAGUGU